UGUGCUUUAAUUGUGCAAAAAUAAUUAGAUGUAUGGGGAACGCGCAGUGUGGGUGCCCGUUGAAUAGUCGCACUGUUCUCUCUUUUUUUUUUGGGGGUUGGAGGAACCAAUUGUCGAUCAGUCGGUUUCGGGAGCGUGCACACUGGUACCCGAAAAGAUGGUGAACUAUGCUUGAGCAGAAUGAAGCCAGAGGAAACUCUGGUGGAAGUUCGUAGCGGUGUUGACGUGCAAAUCACUCGUCUGACUUGAGUGUAGGGGGGAAAGACUAAUCGAACCAUCUAGUUGCUGGUUCCUUCCGAAGUUUCCCUCAGGAUAGCUGGCAUUUGUUUGUAACAAUUUUAUCCGGUAGAGCGAAUGAUUAGAGGUGUUGGGAACGCAAUGUUCUCAGCCUAUUCUCAAACUUCGAAUGGGUAAGCAAGGCGUUUUGCUUUGAUUUUACGAUGAAAUCGCCCAAUUAGAAUGUAUAAAUGCCUAGUGGGCCAAUUUUGGUAAGCAGAACUGGCGAUGUGGAAUGAACCAAAAGUCAGGUUAAGGUGCCAGACAUUGGCGCUCAUGAAAUACCAGAAAAGGUGUUGGUCGAUAUAGACAGCAGGACGGUGGCCAUGGAAGUUGGAAUCCGCCAAGGAGUGUGUAACAACUCACCUGCCGAAUCGACUAGCCCUGAAAAUGGAUAGCGUUUGAGCUCCAGGCCCAUACCUGACCGUCUCAAUUACGCACUUUUUUUUCGGAAAAGGUGUAAUGAACGUUGAGACGGGUAGGAAGGUCGCGACAGUGUUGCUUUGAAGAGUUUUGAGCGUGAGAUCGGUCGGAGCCGCUGUUGGUGCAGAUCUUGGUGGUAGUAGCAAAUAU
rnacentral:ncRNA from 1 species